UGGCCAACAUUAUCACAUAAUUUGGAUUUUACUGGUGAAACUCACUUUGAUUGUUUUUGCUAUUGCAUCCAAGGGCCCGGGCUUUGACCUCUCUAUUUUGGUAGAGUCGGUGAUAUCCUAGAAUCCCUCCUCCACCCCCCAAAGUUUGAGCAGCCAUGAACACUCUAGAGGUUGUGAUCUAUGAUCCAUACACUUGUCUUGACUGCAGGUGCUUAGAAAGAUUAGGACAUUUGCAGGUUUCAAAGUUUUGGAUAAUUUUAUCAUAAGUAUAGCAAAUC
rnacentral:lncRNA from 1 species